rnacentral:lncRNA from 1 species
AAAUCACUGAACCAAGGUACAUUUGUCUGCCAGACCUUCCCCAUCAUGACCCGCUGCCUUGGCUCAGGAUCGAGGUGGACAAUGCCAGCGAAACAGACCAGGAAAUCCCAGCACAAGUGUUGCUCCCAUCCAUCUGGAGGCAAGGGCAAGGUUCAGGGCAUGCCUAUGGGCAACAGGUCAAAUUCCACAUUCCCAGAGCUUGGUGACCUGGUGACCACCCUCCUCAUUGUCCACCCCAAAUUGAGCUUCUUCACUC